UACGAGGGGGGCAAGCGUUGUUCGGAAUUAUUGGGCGUAAAGGGUGCGUAGGCGGUUUGACAAGUCUCAUGUGAAAUCUUCGGGCUCAACCCGAAGUCUGCAUGGGAAACUGUCGGGCUUGAGUAUGGGAGAGGUGAGUGGAAUUUCCGGUGUAGCGGUGAAAUGCGUAGAUAUCGGAAGGAACACCUGUGGCGAAAGCGGCUCACUGGACCAUAACUGACGCUGAUGCACGAAAGCUAGGGGAGCAAACAGG
rnacentral:rRNA from 1 species